UGGGGAAUCUUGCGCAAUGGGCGAAAGCCUGACGCAGCCAUGCCGCGUGAAUGAUGAAGGUCUUAGGAUUGUAAAAUUCUUUCACCGGGGACGAUAAUGACGGUACCCGGAGAAGAAGCCCCGGCUAACUUCGUGCCAGCAGCCGCGGUAAUACGAAGGGGGCUAGCGUUGCUCGGAAAUUACUGGGCGUAAAGGGAGCGUAGGCGGACAUUUAAGUCAGGGGUGAAAUCCCGGGGCUCAACCUCGGAACUGCCUUUGAUACUGGGUGUCUUGAGUGUGAUAGAGGUAUGUGGAACUCCGAGUGUAGAGGUGAAAUUCGUAGAUAUUCGGGAAGAACACCAGUGGCGAAGGCGACAUACUGGAUCAUUACUGACGCUGAGGCUC
rnacentral:rRNA from 1 species